rnacentral:rRNA from 1 species
AUUCGAUUAGAGUUUGAUCAUGGCUCAGAACGUACGCUGGCGGCACGCCUAACACAUGCAAGUCGAACGAAGUAGCAAUACUUAGUGGCAGACGGGUGAGUAACAUGUGGGUAUCUGCCCUUUGGCCUGGAAUAACACGAGGAAACUUGUGCUAAUACUGGAUAAGUCUUUACGGAGAAAGCUUUAUGCACCAUUGGAUGAGCCCGCACUUGAUUAGUUUGUUGGUGGGGUAAUGGCCUACCAAGACCGUGAUCAAUAGCUGAUUUGAGAGGAUGAUCAGCCACAUUGGGACUGAGACACGGCCCAAACUCCUACGGGAGGCAGCAGUGGGGAAUCUUGCACAAUGGAGGAAACUCUGAUGCAGCGAUGCCGCGUGAGUGAAGAAGGCCUUUGGGUUGUAAAGCUCUUUCGUCGGGGAAGAAAAUGACUGUACCCGAAUAAGAAGGUCCGGCUAACUUCGUGCCAGCAGCCGCGGUAAUACGAAGGGACCUAGCGUAGUUCGGAAUUACUGGGCUUAAAGAGUUCGUAGGUGGUUGAAAAAGUUGGUGGUGAAAUCCCAGAGCUUAACUCUGGAACUGCCAUCAAAACUUUUCAGCUAGAGUUUGAUAAAGGAAAGCAGAAUUUCUAGUGUAGAGGUGAAAUUCGUAGAUAUUAGAAAGAAUACCAAUUGCGAAGGCAGCUUUCUGGAUCAUUACUGACACUGAGGAACGAAAGCAUGGGUAGCGAAGAGGAUUAGAUACCCUCGUAGUCCAUGCCGUAAACGAUGUGUGUUAGACGUUGGAAAUUUAUUUUCAGUGUCGCAGCGAAAGCGAUAAACACACCGCCUGGGGAGUACGACCGCAAGGUUAAAACUCAAAUGAAUUGACGGGGACCCGCACAAGUAGUGGAGCAUGUGGUUUAAUUCGAAGAUACGCGCAGAACCUUACCAACACUUGACAUGUUCGUCGCAACUUUAAGAGAUUAAAGUUUUCGGUUCGGCCGGACGAAACACAGGUGCUGCAUGGCUGUCGUCAGCUCGUGUCGUGAGAUGUUGGGUUAAGUCCCGCAACGAGCGCAACCCUCACUUUUAGUUGCCAUCAUUAAGUUGGGCACUCUGAAAGAACUGCCAGUGAUAAGCUGGAGGAAGGUGGGGAUGACGUCAAGUCCUCAUGGCCCUUACGUGUUGGGCUACACACGUGCUACAAUGGUAUCUACAACAGGAAGCGAAACAGCGAUGUUAAGCAAAUCCUUAAAAGAUACCUCAGUUCGGAUUGCACUCUGCAACUCGAGUGCAUGAAGCUGGAAUUACUAGUAAUCGUGGAUCAGCGUGCCACGGUGAAUGCGUUCCCGGGUUCUUGUACACACCGCCCGUA